rnacentral:rRNA from 1 species
CACAUGCAAGUCGAGGGGAAACGACAUCGAAAGCUUGCUUUUGAUGGGCGUCGACCGGCGCACGGGUGAGUAACGCGUAUCCAACCUGCCCACCACUUGGGGAUAACCUUGCGAAAGUAAGACUAAUACCCAAUGACGUCUCUAGAAGACAUCUGAAAGGGAUUAAAGAUUUAUCGGUGAUGGAUGGGGAUGCGUCUGAUUAGCUUGUUGGCGGGGUAACGGCCCACCAAGGCUACGAUCAGUGGGGGUUCUGAGAGGAAGGUCCCCCACAUUGGAACUGAGACACGGUCCAAACUCCUACGGGAGGCAGCAGUGAGGAAUAUUGGUCAAUGGACGAGAGUCUGAACCAGCCAAGUAGCGUGCAGGAUGACGGCCCUAUGGGUUGUAAACUGCUUUUAUAAGGGAAUAAAGUGAGCCUCGUGAGGCUUUUUGCAUGUACCUUAUGAAUAAGGACCGGCUAAUUCCGUGCCAGCAGCCGCGGUAAUACGGAAGGUCCGGGCGUUAUCCGGAUUUAUUGGGUUUAAAGGGAGCGUAGGCCGGAGAUUAAGCGUGUUGUGAAAUGUAGAUGCUCAACAUCUGCACUGCAGCGCGAACUGGUUUCCUUGAGUACGCACAAAGUGGGCGGAAUUCGUGGUGUAGCGGUGAAAUGCUUAGAUAUCACGAAGAACUCCGAUUGCGAAGGCAGCUCACUGGAGCGCAACUGACGCUGAAGCUCGAAAGUGCGGGUAUCGAACAGGAUUA